CUUAUUGUCAAGCCAUCAAAGAUAUGCUGACCUUUUGUUUCACUAUAAAUAUAGAUAUAUAGAUCACCCUCAUGUUAGUUGAACAUCUGCAGCAAGCAAGGUUUCUCGAUCUCCUUUAGUUUGCUGUGUUCUCUAUCUUGCUAUCAGAAUCACUAAUGGAUAGCUUGAAGAGUAACCGAGGGAAACAAGGCAACCAACAGCCUCCUCCAGGAUACCCAACUCGCACAGUACCACAUAAGAGGCCUUGCUGCCCUCGUACCAAAAGGAAAGAUGAUAAGAGCUUCAUUGAAGGAUGCCUUGCUGCCCUUUGUUGCUGUUGGUUAUGCGAUGUCUGCUGUGAUUGAGACGUAAAUCAACCAUGCAUGGCUUGUGAAAGACUACUUUUUCAUACGGAGCAUAUUGCAGGAGUGUACUUAGCUAUGUACAAGAUAUGGUGUGUUGAUGUAACCAGGGUGUAAUAAAAUUUGCUCUAGCUUAUGUGUACACCUACAAAUGGAUAUAUGAAAAUGCUGCAUUAGUUUACGUUAA